CCAGACUCCUACGGGAGGCAGCAGUGGGGAAUAUUGGGCAAUGGGCGCAAGCCUGACCCAGCAACGCCGCGUGAAGGAAGAAGGCUUUCGGGUUGUAAACUUCUUUUCUCAGGGACGAAGAAAGUGACGGUACCUGAGGAAUAAGCCACGGCUAACUACGUGCCAGCAGCCGCGGUAAUACGUAGGUGGCAAGCGUUAUCCGGAUUUACUGGGUGUAAAAGGAGCGUAGACGGUGAUGCAAGUCAGAAGUGAAAGCCCGGGGCUCAACUCCGGGACUGCUUUUGAAACUGUGUAACUGGAGUGCAGGAGAGGUAAGCGGAAUUCCUGGUGUAGCGGUGAAAUGCGUAGAUAUCAGGAGGAACACCAGUGGCGAAGGCGGCUUACUGGACUGUAACUGACGUUGAGGCGCGAAAGCGUGGGGAGCAAACAGGAUUAGAUACCCCGGUAAA
rnacentral:rRNA from 1 species